ensembl:snRNA U6 U6 spliceosomal RNA
GUGCUCGCUUCAGGAGUACAUAUAGUAAAAAUUGGAAUGAUAUAGAGAUAAGCAUGGCCCCUGCACAAGGAUGACACGCAAAUUUGUGAAGCAUUCCAUAUUUGU